rnacentral:rRNA from 1 species
GACGAACGCUGGCGGCGUGCUUAACACAUGCAAGUCGAGCGGAGCGGCGAACGGGUGAGUAACGCGUGAGUAACUGACCCCCUCUCUGGGAUAACAGUUGGAAACGGCUGCUAAUACCGGAUAGUGGGGGAUGACUCGCGUGCUAUCAGCUUGUUGGUGGGGUAGGGGCCUACCAAGGGGACGACGAGUAGCCGGCCUGAGAGGGCGACCGGCCACAUUGGGCUGAGGUACGGCCCAGUCGCCUACGGGCGGCAGCAGUGGGGAAUAUUGCACAAUGGGGGAACCCCUGUGGCAGCAACGCCGCGUGCGGGAUGACGGCCUUUGGGUUGUAAACCGCUUUCAGCCAUGACGCGGUAGUGACAGAAGAAGCACCGGCUAACUACGUGCCAGCAGCCGCGGUAAUAC